CAAUAGCGUAUAUUGAAGUUGUUGCGGUUAAAAAGCUCGUAGUUGGAGUUCUGCCAGGUGCCGCCUGUCCGCCCCAGUGGUGAGUACGUGGCGCGCAUUUGGCCCUUUCAAGGGGAGCGUAUCUGCACUUUAUUGUGUGGUGCGGGAUCCUUGACUUUUACUUUGAGGAAAUAGGAGUGUUCCAAGCAGGCUCUCGUCGUGCACAGCUCAGCAUGGAAUAAUAGCAUUGGACCUCGAUUCUAAGCUGUUGGUUGCCAGAAGCGAGGUAAUGAUGAAGAGGGAUAGUUGGGGGCAUUCGUAUUUAACUGUCAGAGGUGAAAUUCUUGGAUUUGUUAAAGGCGGACUACUGCGAAAGCAUCUGCCAUGGAUGUUUUCAUUGA
rnacentral:rRNA from 1 species